rnacentral:tRNA from 2 species
GUCCCCGUAGCUCAGAAGGAUAGAGCACAGGAUUCCUAAUCCUGAGGUCGGCGGUUCGAAUCCGCCCGGGGACG